AGAGUUUGAUCCUGGCUCAGGAUGAACGCUGGCGGCGUGCUUAACACAUGCAAGUCGAACGGACUUAUAUGAAACCUAGUGAUUAUAAGUUAGUGGCGGACGGGUGAGUAACGCGUGGGUAACCUGCCUCGUACCGGGGGAUAACACUUAGAAAUAGGUGCUAAUACCGCAUAAGCGCACAGGACCGCAUGGUCUAGUGUGAAAAACUCCGGUGGUACGAGAUGGACCCGCGUCUGAUUAGCUAGUUGGUGAGGUAACGGCCCACCAAGGCAACGAUCAGUAGCCGGCCUGAGAGGGUGAACGGCCACAUUGGGACUGAGACACGGCCCAAACUCCUACGGGAGGCAGCAGUGGGGAAUAUUGCACAAUGGGGGAAACCCUGAUGCAGCGACGCCGCGUGGAGGAAGAAGUAUUUCGGUACGUAAACUCCUAUCAGCAGGGAAGAAAAUGACGGUACCUGACUAAGAAGCCCCGGCUAACUACGUGCCAGCAGCCGCGGUAAUACGUAGGGGGCGAGCGUUAUCCGGAUUCACUGGGUGUAAAGGGAGCGUAGACGGCAUGGCAAGCCCGAUGUGAAAACCCGCAGCUCAACUGCGGGCCUGCAUUGGGAACUGUCAAGCUGGAGUUCUGGAUGGGCAGGCGGAAUUCCUGGUGUAGCGGUGAAAUGCGUAGAUAUCAGGAGGAACACCGGUGGCGAAGGCGGCCUGCUGGACGGAUACUGACGUUGAGGCUCGAAAGCGUGGGGAGCAAACAGGAUUAGAUACCCUGGUAGUCCACGCUGUAAACGAUGAGCACUAGAUGUUGGCGUAGCAAUACGUCGGCGUCGAAGUUAACGCAUUAAGUGCUCCGCCCGGGGAGUACGUACGCAAGUAUGAAACUCAAAGGAAUUGACGGGGACCCGCACAAGCAGCGGAGCAUGUGGUUUAGUUCGAAGCAACGCGAAGAACCUUACCAGGACUUGACAUCCCAUUGACCGGUCCUUAACCGGACCCUUCCUUCGGGACAAUGGAGACAGGUGGUGCAUGGUUGUCGUCAGCUCGUGUCGUGAGAUGUUGGGUUAAGUCCCGCAACGAGCGCAACCCUUAUCCUCAGUAGCCAGCAUUAUGGAUGGGCACUCUGGGGAGACUGCCAGGGAUAACCUGGAGGAAGGUGGGGAUGACGUCAAAUCAUCAUGCCCCUUAUGAUCUGGGCUACACACGUGCUACAAUGGCGUAAACAAAGAGAAGCGAAACGGCGACGUCGAGCAAAUCUCAAAAAUAACGUCUCAGUUCGGACUGUAGUCUGCAACCCGACUACACGAAGCUGGAAUCGCUAGUAAUCGUGGAUCAGAAUGCCACGGUGAAUACGUUCCCGGGUCUUGCACACACCGCCCGUCA
rnacentral:rRNA from 1 species